UGGCAUUGCUGCCAGUUGUCUCCUUGCUCUCUCAAUUUCACUCUCUUCUUCUUCGACAAGCUGAAAGGGAUAUGGGGGAAAAUUCAGAUUAGGGCUUUUACUCGGCGAUUUUGCAAGCCUUUCUCCGAUACAUCACGAACCAGGGAGAAGGCACUCUUGGGCCACCACCAAGUCACCGCAUACAUAACGAACAACAAUUUCGACGACGAAAUCAUCCUUCUCCGGCACACGAGCAAUAUCAACAUUCGUUUUUAACCGACCUGCAGUCAGAAAAUUCCAGCGACACUCCUCUCUAGAACUCAAUGGAGGGUUCCACGGCCUGAGGGGCCUUUUCGUCUGGCAAGGUAGGAAGAUGGAAACACUGCAUCGAGGAGGCUCUACGAUCAGCAGAUCAACAUCUUGCAUACACGCCUCAAUCCAACAACCUUCUCUUCCACCGACAGAUAUCUAAAGACUGAUUCACCAGAUUUCUAUCGUUCCAAAUAACCCAACUUAUAACACCAAAUCUCAAGAAUUCCUUCUUUCUCAGUCGAUUCGCCACUUAACAGAGAAACUCACAAAUAGGUGCUUCAACAUCAACAAUAUGUUUAAGGAUAGAUGGAAAUGGAGAAUAAAGUUGGGGCCAUCCGACAAGGAAGCCCACACCCAAUCGCUACAUUCUAACACUUCAUCGUCAAAGAAAUUUUCUGUUGACAUCAUGAAUCACCAUAUGUGUGGCCUAGUUCUCACUGGAAAUUCAUUUUUUAAGCUGGUUUUCUCAUAAUAAGAAAUUUCAUCAAUUUCAUCUUCGAUACAGGAUUAUUGUGCUUCUCAUCGCUCAUCUUCAACGAUUCAAAUAAGACUACUGCAACCAAGCCAAUAAAUCGUCAAGUGAGACACUGAAAGAUUGGAAGAGAAAAACCUUAAAUACAAUCAACAAAUUGUUAGAAUGAAGAAUUAGAUUAAAUGUAAACUUCAACGAAAUGAUAAUGUGAUAGAACUAUCUUUCCAUUCAUAAUAAAAAAAAAAAAAAUCAAUCUUA